UGUUUGAAGUAUUCUGGUAAGAAUUGAACUUGAAGAAUUUAAGAGUUGGGCAUGAUUGAAAAUGAACGUGGUUUAAAAGAAAACGUUCAGAAUUGUUGAAUUCAAAAUUAUCCUUAGGUUCGACUCCUUGUUAUAAUGU
rnacentral:tRNA from 1 species